UACGUAGGGGGCAAGCGUUGUCCGGAUUUAUUGGGCGUAAAGAGCUCGUAGGCGGUUUGGUAAGUCUGGUGUGAAAUCUCCACGCUCAACGUGGAGGGGCCACCCGAUACUGCCAUGACUGGAGUCCGGUAGAGGAGUGUGGAAUUCCCGGUGUAGCGGUGAAAUGCGCAGAUAUCGAGAGGAACACCUGUGGCGAAGGCGGCCUUCUGGACGGAAACUGACGCUGAGACGCGAAAGCGUGGGGAGCAAACAGG
rnacentral:rRNA from 1 species